rnacentral:lncRNA from 1 species
CCCUCCGCCGCUCAGCGCCGCGCUCCCACCGCCCCGCAGAUGUCCACCUACAAGCGGGCCACGCUGGACGAUGAAGACCCCCUGGACUCCAUCAGCGAAAGCGAUGGGUACCCCAACGGGUUCCAGGUGAAUUUCUCCAGGAGCAGCGUGGGAUGCUGGGCCCAGCGCACGCGCCCCGAGAAGCAGCUGGUGGCUGUGGUGGCCGUGCUGGCGGCCGUGCUGGGAGCGUGCCUGCUGGGGCUCGUCCUGCAGUACCGAGCACGUGAGUCCUGCGCUGUGACCUG